CUAAAUUCCACACCUAUAUUAAUGUCCCCACUAAGCCAUCCAUAUUUUGGGAACUUAACAUGAUGCUCAACUUCAAUAUUUUUAUUUCUUGGGUCUAGCACUGCAAGACUUCAGUCAGACAUACUUAAGAAGGCCAUUAAUGAAUUAUUGUCUCAUUGAAGCAGCAUCCUGGGAGAGAGUUCGUGGACAGUUUUACAACAUGAAGAGGCUGCUCUCAAGCCUCGUAGUCUCUUGUUUGUGUGUCCAAGGACACGUCUUAAACUUGUAGUCUCUUGUUUGUGCGCCCCUUGUGAAUAUAAUAGACAAUGGCUUUUUAAGGAUUGUCAAAAGUAUGAAUUUUCAAUGCCUAUAUAUAUAGCGAGAGAGAGAGAGAGAG
rnacentral:misc_RNA from 1 species